rnacentral:rRNA from 1 species
GACGAACGCUGGCGGCGUGCUUAACACACGCAAGUCGAACGGAAAGGCCCUGCUUUUGUGGGGUGCUCGAGUGGAGAACGGGAGAGUAACACGUGAGUAACCUGCCAUUGACUUUGGGAUAACUUCAGGAAACUGGGGCUAAUACCGGAUAGGAGCUCCUGCUGUAUGGUGGGGGUUGGAAAGUUUCGGCGGUUGGGGAUGGACUCGCGGCUUAUCAGCUUGUUGGUGGGGUAGUGGCUUACCAAGGCUUUGACGGGUAGCCGGCCUGAGAGGGUGACCGGCCACAUUGGGACUGAGAUACGGCCCAGACUCCUACGGGAGGCAGCAGUGGGGAAUAUUGCACAAUGGGCGGAAGCCUGAUGCAGCAACGCCGCGUGCGGGAUGACGGCCUUCGGGUUGUAAACCGCUUUCGCCUGUGACGAAGCGUGAGUGACGGUAAUGGGUAAAGAAGCACGGGCUAGCUACGUG